AAGCUGGAAAAGACGUAGGUACAAUGUAGUAGAGCCGGAUCGCUCUGUCUGGGAUGUGGGAGGCAAUGAGUUACAGAACAGGUGGCGCAGUUCCGUAUAAUAGUGUGUGUGACAACUGUAUAAAGUUGAAAAUGACACCUAACACCAAUACAUCGCUGAUCUUGCCUACGUCACUAUUUGUGUUUACAAUUUAAAAUCCCGCGAAAGCAAAAAGUGCGCGAGUUCAGAAGUUUUUCCACUUUAUUUCGUACAGUUUUAACAAUUUCUGGUAAAUUUUGAUAGAAUGCCGCAGUGUGCAGUCAAUGUGUGCAAGAUAACGACACAGGAAGCGAAGAACAGUGAUAUUUGCAUAAGUUUUCACACUUUCCCCAAAGAACCUAGCAAACGAUCGAAAUGGGUGAAAUGUUGUGGGCUCAUCAAAGAUCCGGGUACAUCGCUUUAUGUAUGCUCCCAGCAUUUCACAUCUGACGAUUUUGUGUUCAAUGCUUCGAUCCGAAAAUCGUUGACAGCUUUUCCCACCAUUCGUACUCCGGAAUCGUCAUGCGUUGAUUGUAGAGGUCGUUCCCAACGUUAUCAACGAAACGAGCGGAAGGAACUUGUGGCUAACCUUUUGCAAAAUCACUGUUCACUGGAGGCGGAGAAAUCGAAAAACGUUAAUAGUUGAAAAUGGAUCUUCUUGCGAUGUUUCACCGUUCCAAAAGGAACAGAACAUACGUGAUUCCGACUCAAACAUGGAUGUUUUGUUAGAGGUGAUAGAGCUGGCCAAUCUGUCUACUGCUACGAAGUUCAGAUGUUGAUAGCCUGAACGAUUCCGGUUGGUCAGAGUUCAUCAGUCAUGAUGGGCUCAAUUCUACUCAUGUCAUGUUAGAGGAAGCGGUAAGAUUGGUAAUGCUGAACACACUACGAACGCUGAUUAAACGCAAGCAAGAUAUAUAAUCCAGCCAAUGACAACCAAGUAUGUACCUUAUUGUUUCUGAGCAUUGUUUCACCACAGUGUUGUUUAAUAACGUGUUAAUCUAUUCAUC
rnacentral:lncRNA from 1 species